ensembl:lncRNA
GGAUAAAAUAGGAAAUAUUGAGGAUAAAAUAGGAAAAAUUGAGGAUAAAAUGGAAGCCCAAUUAGAAGAUCUAAAAAGUUUCUUACAAGAUCAAUUGGCAAACACCCACUCUACCAGAAACAGACCUGUUUCUGAACCUUUGAAUGAGGAAAUUUCCUUCCCUGAAAUAGAGACGGAAAACACCUUCCCUAUAGCCCAGUUAACAGACUGCUUCUCUCAUGCAGUGCAAAUCUUGACUGAAUUUAAUCCCCAAAACCCUUCCCCUGCAAUCCCAGUUUCUCAUGUUCCCUCUCCUACAGAAAACCAAAUUCCAACGCAAAGGAGAUCUUGUCCUCCUAGAGAAACCUGUCCUUGUCAAACUGACCCACAGGUACAAAAUUCAACUAGAGGCCUGUUUCCUCUAAGAGAAGUUCCUGAAAUAGGACAGAAUGGGGAUGUGGUGACUUUAAGACAUAGGAUACCGUUUACUCCCCAAGAAAUAAAUGAAUUUACACGAAAUAUCCCCACAUAUGAACAAGAUCCUUUUCUAGUAACAAAAAAGAUGGGAGACAUAUUUUUUCAGUAUAAUCCGUCUUACAAGGACGUUGAGAACUUACUACAGGCUUUUUUAAGUGAACAUGAAAAAAAUAAAAUAAUUGCUCAUGUCAACAAAACCCGGGGGCGUAAUGCAGCACAUUGGCCAUCUCAGGAUCCCGAAUGGGACUAUAACAAUCCUGAGGAUUAUCUACAACUAUACCGUUGUAGAGAGGCCAUCCUCACGGCAAUGAAGGAAUGUGCAGACAGUACAGAUAAGUGGAUGGAACUGGAAAAAAUUAAGCAAAAGGAAGAAGAAUCACCCUCCAGAUUUAUGGAUAGAAUUAUCGAGUUUGGGGACAGAUACUUAGAUUGGGACUUAACUAAAGAGAGUAGUUUGAGACAAGUUAGAAGAAUCUUUGUAAAUAAUUCUUGCAAAGCAAUUAAGAAUUAUUUUAGAACACAAUGCCCAAGAUGGUCAGAUAUGGACCUUGAAGAAUUGCGAAAAACAGCUAUAUAUGUUUUAAAGUGAAACAAAGAAAAGGAGGAAGAAAAUAAUGAUGACAUGGAGGAAAUGAAGGAAAAAAAUGAGAUAUUUAAUAGAUAGGAUGACUAAAUUAGAAAGUGGGCAUGAUAAUGAACCAAUGACAAUUGCCCCUCUCCAGAAAUCCAAUUAUCAAUCCAUUACUUGCCACUUCUGUGAGAAGAAGGGCCACAAAAUGAUGGAAUGUAGAAUAUUUCUUAAGAUGUUUGGAAAG